UCAGAAGCUUCUCAGGUCGAGGCGGGGCAGGGGAGUUGUACUGUAGUGUUUCCAGUCUGCCUGGGCUGGUGCAUUUCAAAGCGCUGCCUGGAUGGAGAAGCUGUUCCUGGGAAGCAGUGUUGACCCUGCUCUUGCGGGCAUGUGAUGAAUAUUUCAUAGCCCAGAUGUAAUCCCGUCCAAGCUUCCCUCUCCUUCCCCUGUCCAGCACCCCUCUCCUCACGUCCCCCACCUCCACCCCAGCCCCAGUCCCCCAUUGUUCCCAAGUCAGGAAAAUCAGUCAAAACAUUUAUCAGAAAUCGGUAUGAACCAGCCAAGCGCUGUGAAGAGCUAAUCUGUGCAGAGCUAAUAAGAAUGAACAAAGUCACCACAGACUCUGCCAUGGGCAUCGCUGAUAAGGAUUUGUCAGAAGAAUUGCAGAAUUCCACUCACCAUGGCCUGAGGUCCCCCACCUGCCUGAGCUCGGCUGACUGAGGGGGAGAAGACUGUCCUUGGAUUGUUCUCAUCACUAAACAAUUUCCAGCCAGCUAAGCGGGAGCCUCAGAACCACAUGAAGUGUUGUCUGGAGAAAUCUUGCCCAGAUAUAACAUUGAGACAACAUUUAAAACCUCAUUUAAGUGAACACAAAGAGAGGGCUCCUGGAACAGAUGGGGCUGGGCACCUCCUGUUGCAAACCCACAUGGCCCCGAGUUCAACCUGGAGGUGACUACAGCCCACGGAACAGAACUGACUUUCAGAGGUGACAUUGGGAUAGAGUCCUCUGGGAAUUGUGGGAUACAGGAAGGGGAUAGAGUCCUCUGGGAAUUGUGGCAAAUAUUGGGAUAGAGGAGAGGCAUAGAGUCUUCUGGGAAUUGUGGCAAAGGAGAGCCACCUCUUGUGUUGGGAGUACACCUGCCUUGGGUGAAGUUCUGAGUGGACCUUGGCCUGGGACAAGGUGACACUGGCUCCAUCCCAUCCUCUGGAUUCUGCCUGCUUUGGAGGUGGGGUAUAAGAUCCCGGCAGGUCUAACUUCAGGCGAGGCUGGGGAAGGAGGAAAUCACAGAUAUCUAGUCCUCAUGGUUGUGUGUCUACAGAACUUUACCGAUCUCACAGUGUUUUCAUAGCAUGUUCUCAUCACUUUAAGCAAGCCUAGGUUAAAGGCAGAGCAGCUUAUCCCAUUGCACAGUAGAGGAAAGUGAGGUGCUAAGCUAGUCUGUAACUCACCCAAAGUCAUGCAGCUUGUGAGUGACAAGGUUGGACUUGAACCUACGUCCUCUUAGCUCUGGAGCCA
rnacentral:lncRNA from 10 species